UAGCUCAUUCCGGUGGAGCGGCCGACUAUGAAUCGGCAGGUUGGCGGUGCGAGUUAGCCCGGGCUCUGCCGUCG
rnacentral:tRNA from 1 species